rnacentral:lncRNA from 1 species
GAAGGUCCGGCUUCAUCGUCAGACGCCUCAUCCAAGAAGCCGAGGUUCAGUUCGAAAAACUUUUCGGCCACCUUCUCUUGGCAGAGCUCGAAGCCCUUGAUGAAGGUGUUCUGGCCGAACUGGACCUGUAGAUCCUCCAUCUCAGAGGAGGUCUUGAACUCCUCCACCGCUCGGGGCCCUGCCUCCGAGACUAGGGACGGGACCUGUGCCUUCAGUUUGGAGACCUCGACCUCUGCCUUCUUCUUUUCCUCCUCCAAGGCGGCCC